AUGGCAUCCCUCACAAUGCUCAUCAGUUGGACCAUAUGGAAUGAGAAGAAUGCCCGGGUGUUUAGCCACAAAAGCACUCCGCCUCCAAUCUUGCUCAAUAACAUCAAAGGAGAGGCCCGCCUUUGGAUCUCCGCGGGUGCAAAAGAAUUGGGGAUCAUUCUGCCUGGAGAGUAA
rnacentral:rRNA from 1 species